CUUUGUCCCUAAAUCACAGUCGGGUUCUGGGAGGGACCUACUCGGUGCUGUGGGCUGGCCGCUGUUCUGCAGUGGAGGACUUUCACUUCCUGCUCCACCCCAGGCCGGGCCUGGGGCGGUGAGUGAGCAAGGGCGCAGACCGAAGCCCAGGGGCGUGGAGGGGCUUGGCGCGGGAGGUGCGGGAUCUACACCGCGAGCGGAGAGCACAUCCUCUUUCUCUACCUGCUCCUCAGGGGUGGUCUUCGGGUUACUGCUCAUCUUUGUGACCCUGUGGCCGCUAAGCCCCCCUAAAGGCCUGGAGCCCCGCUGGGAAGAGCGAGUGUGGGCCUCACCUCGCCGUCGCCGUCCUAUAAUAAACCCAGCGAGCGCCUUGGCUUCGCACAUUGGCGCUUAAUCACAACCCCUAGCGCCUUGAGGCUUCUGGGGUCACGUGCACCCCCACGGAAUUCUAAGGCUCUCUAGAUCCAGAGUGAUUCCCCAGCUGGAGCAGAGGAAAGUGCCAUGGGUCCUGCCACUCCAGAGCUUUGAGGCCAGGAUGAUCCUAAGGGGAAGUCAUCCUAAGACUUUGAGAAUCAGGUGACAAAACUCCAUCAGGACAUUUCUGAAACAACAGAACAGUACAAAACAUCCUCAGGAAGGACCAGUGAAAAUAUUUCUCAGACUCCCAUUUGGGGAGGAAACUGUGAGAGGGCCCUGAAAUUGGAAGGGCCACAUGGGAGCCUCUCAGGAGAGGGCUGGCAGGAGCCCUCUGCCCAGGGGAGGGAUUUGAAUAAGCUCCUGGGUGGGUAUGUGGGGCAGAAGCCUAUGUGCACAGAAUGUGGGAAAAGCUUUAAGGGGAGUUCCUAUCUCAUGAGACACUUAAGGACUCACACUGGCGAGAGACCUUACAGAUAGAUCGAGUGUGGGAAAGGCUUCAAGCAGAGCUCGGACAUUGUCACUCAUGGCAGAACACACACAGGUGAGAAGCCCUACCUAUGCCAAGGGUGUGAGAAGAGGUUCUGUGACAGCUCUGCACCAUCAAACAUCAGAGGACCCCCACAGGGGAAAGCCCUACAAGUGCCCAGAGUAUGGGAAGAGUUUGGGAGGAAGCCACACCUCAUCAUGCGCCAAAGAACACACGGGAGAGAAGCCCUACAGGUGCCUUGAGUGCCAGAAGAGCUUUAGUUAAAGCUCAAAUUUCAUCACCCACCAGAGGAUCCACACUGCGGUGAAGCCUUACAGGUGCAGUGACUGUGAGGGCGGCCAUCCAGAGCUCAGAUUUGAUUAAGCACCCACAAACCCACAGGGGAAUGGCCUUUUCAGUGCCUGGAGCGCAGGAAGGGUUUCCGGGACAGUUCUCAUUUUGUAGCUCACAUGAGCACUCACUAGGGAGAAAGACCUUUCAGUUGUCCCAACUGCCACAAAAGUUUCAAUCAGAGCUCACACUUGUUCAGGCAUCAGCAGAUGCACACAGGUGAGAGAACUUUUAAGUACACCGAGUGUGGGAAAGGAUUUCCUGACAGCUCUGCCCUCGUUAAGCACCCGCGGAUCCACACAGGAGAAAGACCCUACAAGUGUGGCGAGUGUGAGAACAGCUUCAACCAGAGCUCUCACUUCACGACACAUCAAAGUGUUUACUUAGGAGACAAACCCUACAGAUGUCCCAAGUACGACAAGACCUUCCACCAGCAUUCCCUUUUCCUCACAUACCAGAGGACACACACGGGAAAAACCUUUCCACUGCAGUACAUGUGACAAGAGCUUCCAGCAGAAAGCACAUCUUUUGUGCCAUCAGAACACCCAUUUAGUUUAGGAAAUGUUCUUUGGUGGUUUUCUGCUCCCUUCCAAAUUUUCGGUGCCACUGUCUUCAGAUCCCUCAAAGAAAGAAAACCUGAAUAUGGGUAGCUCAAAUCAGAACCCAGUCUCUUCUCUUUUCUGUGUUACAAUGACCAGGACAAACUCAAAGGGCCUACAUAGUGUUCUGAACACAAGACAUUCCUUCAGUGUGAGUCAACCAACUCUUCGGAAAAUUCAAGUUUAAUGGUUGCUGCCUGGCUACUAAGUGAGGGGGAAAGAAGUGUGGCCUACAGAUCACAUGGAAACCAUGUAGGAGGUGCUCAAUAUUGAUGAUUAAUAUGUGAAGGCUUGGGCUGCACAUGUAGCUCAGUAGUAGUGCACUUUCCUGUCAUGCACAAGGCCCUGGGUUUAAUCCCUAGCACUAAAAACAACAACAACAACAAAAAAUGAGGUCAUAUGCAGGGCCUUUAAUGUAGUGCUUGGCCCUUGAAAAGAUACUCAGUCUAAUCUUGGUUGUUUUUAAGCUUAGUUUGUUACUACUCAAUAAGAAAUUUAUAGGCCAGGCAUGGUGGCCCAUGCCUGUAAUCCCAGCACUGGGGAGGCUGAGGCAGG